GACGAACGCUGGCGGCGUGCUUAACACAUGCAAGUCGAACGGAAAGGCCCUGCUUUUGUUGGGUUCUCGAUUGGCGAACGGGUGAGUAACACGUGAGUAACCUGCCCUUGACUUUGGGAUAACUUCAGGAAACUGGGGCGAAUACCGGAGAGGAUCUCCUGCUCCAUGGUGGUGGUUGGAAAGUUUCGGCUGUUGGGGAUGGACUCGCGGCUUAUCAGCUGGUUGGUGGGGUAGUGGCUGUCCAAGGCUUUGACGGGUAGCCGGCCUGAGAGGGUGACCGGCCACAUUGGGACUGAGAUACGGACCAGACUCCUACGGGAGGCAGCAGUGGGGAAUAUUGCACAAUGGGCGGAAGCCUGAUGCAGCAACGCCGCGUGCGGAAUGACGGCCUUCGGGUUGUAAACCGAUUUCGCCUGUGACGAAGAGUGAGUGACGGUAAUGGGUAAAGAAGCACCGGCUAACUACGUG
rnacentral:rRNA from 1 species